rnacentral:rRNA from 1 species
AUGAACGCUGGCGGCGUGCCUAAUACAUGCAAGUCGAGCGAACAGACGAGGAGCUUGCUCCUCUGACGUUAGCGGCGGACGGGUGAGUAACACGUGGAUAACCUACCUAUAAGACUGGGAUAACUUCGGGAAACCGGAGCUAAUACCGGAUAAUAUAUUGAACCGCAUGGUUCAAUAGUGGAAGACGGUUUUGCUGUCACUUAUAGAUGGAUCCGCGCCGCAUUAGCUAGUUGGUAAGGUAACGGCUUACCAAGGCAACGAUGCGUAGCCGACCUGAGAGGGUGAUCGGCCACACUGGAACUGAGACACGGUCCAGACUCCUACGGGAGGCAGCAGUAGGGAAUCUUCCGCAAAGGGCGAAAGCCUGACGGAGCAACGCCGCGUGAGUGAUGAAGGUCUUCGGAUCGUAAAACUCUGUUAUUAGGGAAGAACAAAUGUGUAAGUAACUAUGCACGUCUUGACGGUACCUAAUCAGAAAGCCACGGCUAACUACGUG